CACUUAGUAGUGAGCAAAUGGGACACUGUCUGUAGUGAGCGAGUGUGAUACUGUCAGUAGUGAGGGAGUGUGAUACUAUCAGUAGUGAGCAUGUGUGUUUCUUCAAUAGUGAGGUACUCUCACUACUGAGUGAGUGAAACAUUGUCACUACUGAGGGAGUGUGACACUGUCACUACUGAGGGAGUGUGACACUGUCACUACUGAGGGAGUGUGACACUGUCACUACUGAGGGAGUGUGACACUGUCACUACUGAGGGAGAGAUACACUGUCACUACUGAGGGAGAGAGAUUGUCAGAAAUUAGGGAGAUUACAGUACAGAGAAGGAUAUUCGUGUGUAA